AGGAAUCUGUCACACGCCUCACCUGCCCCUUCCUCAGGAAGACGGGGCAGCUGACGCGCCUGUGAAGCCCUCACAGGACGACACCAUGUGAGCGACUAGAUCACAACAACAACAACUUUGUUCUCACCGCAGCGUGCUCAGUGAAAAUGGUUUCCUAGAGACGAACACACCUUGAAAAAGUGGAUUUUGGCCUGCAAACGAAAAGAUGAAGUGAAGGUGAAGUCUGCGCGCAUGUGCUCCAAACAUUUCCAAGAAAGUGAUUACAAUCAGGCGUAUCGUUUCAAAAAAGAGAAAUUGAGAUCAUCACCAAUAAAAUGCAGGCUCCUUCACCCUCAGGCAGUACCAUCUCUACAACUUCCCAACUCAAAACUUAAAGCAGAUGGCAGCAAAGCUCGAACCAGAAGAUUAGCUGCUAGGCACCGACAUUGGAUUAUGAAGAGUCCUGUGCUUGAUGGCACUGACCAUCCACGGAAAGUCGUGAAGAUUCCCCUUGCUGACUCGCCCAUCAAGGACAUAGAAGUUGUGGAGGUGAAGGAGGAGCAGACAUACACAGAGGAGGCAGAGAAAAUACAUCCCUUUCAGGAGCACGACCCCCUCUCCAUAAAACUUGAGCCUGUCUCAUGGCAGUCCUCUUCCUUGCAGGAGGAGCUUCAACUCAAAGGCAGUGAGAGUCAUAGAGUCUACGUCAAAGAAGAAAUAGAUAUCAAAGAAGAGGACGUUUGUUACUUCAACACUGAAGAAGUUGCUGAGUAUGUAACAGAGAAGAGAGCCUCUUCCAGGGACCACAUGUAGGACCAAGAAGCUUCCUUUGAAAAGAAAAAAAGUGAUUAAGAAAGUUUACAACUUCUUAGGUCAUAGAAGAAAAUCAUCAUCAUCAUAUUAUUAGCUCUGCAAGACAAAGAACUUUCCCAACAUUCUCCACCUACUUUGUAAGAUGUUAGUGUAAUUUUUCAUGUCAUCAUCAUUAACUGUUAUUAGCUGUAGGUAAAAGGCCUUUCUCAUUAUUCUCAAACCCCUCUGUCUGAUAUUGAUGGACUGUCAUGUCAUAAUCCUAAUCAGCAACAGCAGCCAUUAAUAGCUCUGCAAGGCUUUACCCAAUAUUCUCCAUCAUCUUUCUCUGAUGUUUGUGUACUCUGUAAUGAUCUGGCAAUUUUUUAACUUAAAUAUCCACUGGAUUCUCUGCCUGCCAGAUCUAUGCAUAAUAUGACUUCCCAAAUCUUCUUUAUUUUGAACAGUCAUCAGAAUAGUUUUAUCCUGUUUCUGUUUCCUAAUCCUUGAUGCUCACUUCCAUUUACUCCAUAUUAUACCCAGCAUUUUCUUCCAUUCCACUUUUUGCACUUCUGAGCUUUUUCUUUAGAACUCUUGUGAAACAUCAAGUCUAUAAACGGACUGUCAAGAAGUGGGGGCGGUUUUACACCUUCCUCUGUAAACCCCAACAGCAGCACCAUCCUCUCCCUUCCAGUCCUCCCAAUCACCUCACGUUCCAUCUCACUCAGAAACACCUGCAUCAUCUUCGGUCUCUCUCUGUCAUACUUCUUACAUUUACCCCGCGCUCCCAUCACUAGCCGCUCCCUUCACCUCCGCCACUCCGCCUCACUUGCCUCCUUCCUCUUCCUUUGACUACCCAUGCUAUUGUUGACAAAGAUAACUCCUUUAAGUUAAAGUUUUCUAAAGAAAGAAUUGCUACAUUACAUUUGUAAGUCACUGACACAACAAAAACACGUCCUCACACUCACCAUCACAUUGUUGAUGCGUCACUGGUCGUCGUCGUUGUCUGCCGAAUCUUCACCCUGCUCUCACUUCUCCCUCCUCACCCCAUCCUUCCACCUCCUGUGAGGAGAUGGAAGUACACUUGGGUGCCAUAGUAGAGGUCAAAAUGCAGUGUACGUAUUCCAGAGAAACGGCAUAAACGACAAGUAUGGUUGGAGGAUGCUCGGAUAAAGUUUGGCAGAUCUUCCCCAAUAGCCUUGAGGUUGUGGCAUUCUUUUAAGACAAUAUCUCUUCAAUAUAAAGAUGCUGUCCAUCAAUCUGUAAUUAAAUAUGAAAGAUCUUUAGUUUCUCCCGGAAAUCCUGAUGUUAAACGUUUUCACUCCUAUUUUCGUAGCAAGAAGGUUCAGCGUCCUACUAUUGGACCGCUGUAUGGAGAUAAUGGCUGGUGCGCUGACACAACUGACAUGGCAGAUCUUUUUGUUGAUGCAUUCUCUGGUGUAUUUUCUUCUGCUGACUUAUUGAAUCCUUAUCCUGUCCAGCAUUGUGACAAUUCAUUUAUAUGUAAUAUAUUUAGUUUUGAUAUUUUUAAAAUUGAGAUUAUCCUUUCUAAGCUGAAAUCUUCUGCUUGUUGUGGCCCUGAUGGUAUACCUUCAGUAGUUUUAAAGAGAUGUGCCCCCUCCAUUAGUUAUCCUUUGCUCUUGUUGUUCAGGAAAUCUCUUUUAUCAAUGCAAGUCCCAUCUGACUGGAAAGAUGCUAAUGUUAUGCCACUGUUCAAAGGUGGAAUCCAUUCUGAUCCCCUCAACCACAGACCAAUCAGUUUGACAUCAGUGUGCUGUAAAUCUUUUGAAAGAAUAAUUGUGUCUCAACUUACUUCUUAUUUGGAAGAUAAUAACUUACUUUCACAGCAUCAGUAUGGUUUUAGAUUGGGUAGAUCAGUUUUUGAGCAACUGUUGUUUACUUAUGACUAUGUGACUCAUUUCUAUGAUAGUGGUAUGUCAGUGGAUGUGAUAUUUUUUGAUUUCAAGAAAGCUUUUGAUGUUGUUAAUCAUAAAUUAUUACUUACAAUGCUGUCUAGUAUUGGGAUUGGGGGGUGUUUGCUGGGAUGGCUGAAAGACUAUUUGAGUGGGAGAAAGAUGCAAGUAGUUGUCCAUGAAAGUAAGAGUUAUAGAGCGGAUGUAAGCAGUGGUGUUCCCCAAGGGUCUGUAAUUGGCCCCUUGCUGGCAAAUGUGUCAGAAUGAACUUUUGUAGGAAUUUCCUUUAUGCUCCUGCUCCUUUACCGUAUUUUAUUGGAAACCAACCCAUACAAGAUGUAGAUAACUACAAGGAUCUUGGGGUCAGGGUGGAUUCCUCCCUAAAGUUUCAUUUGCAUGAGAGAGAAAUCACUGGCAAGGCUGGAGGCAUUGGUUACAGUAUUCUACAGGGUACCCUCCUUGGCUAAAACGAACCGUUCUGUGGUCACCAUUUCCUAACUCUCCGCCCACCUCCAACUCACGUACAUAGCAAGUUUCCAUUAUUAGUUAGGACUAAGUCUAUUAUGUCAUCUCCUCUGGUAGGUAUAGGCUCAGUAACCCUGCUUAACCCUGGAUAGGUAACGUGAAAUUUUUUGUCACGCAUCAGGUAACGUGGUUGCAUAUGUGCUACCACGACUUUCAAGCUUCAUAGCUCAGCAGCUAUUGGGUAAAAUGUUACCAUUUUUGGUGUGAAUACUCUUACAUCCAUCUACUACUGUAUGAAAAGGUAAUAAAUGAAACUCGUUUAAAGUUUACCUGUUUUAAUGACCAUUGAAAAAAAAAACAUGAAAAAAGAGAUGUUUCCAUUUAAUCACCAUGUGUAGGUUAAACACAAAAGAUUGGAAAAUAUGGAGUGUUGUGGCAAGUAAAGUACAUGCUGAGCUACCUUUAGAGCUGUGAUUGAGUCCCCUAGGCCCAAUAGCAACGAAUCUGGAAGCAAAAGAAAAAGGGGGAAAUUUUGUUAGUAAAAAAAAAACAAGUAAAUUCAAAAUUGUCUUAGGAGUACUAAAUAUUUGUGAGCCUAAGUGAAAUUUGGUAUGGAUCUUCUACAACCAUCAUCCCAAUGGAAAACCACCCCUAAACCCAUUUUGAAUAAUUUUAAAUGAGUGAAAAAUUAUUUUUAUCCAGUACAUCCAUGAGUGCCAUUUUUGGGGGAAAAGUAAUAAAUAAAAGGCUGUAAAUCAUCUAAUAGGCAAGGGAUAUUAUUGAAAGUGUGCAUGAUUAUAGCUACAGCCAUAAUAAAUACGAAAAUAAAGCGUUUGGCUCUUACCAGGCUGUGUGGCAUGUCUGGCACAUGCUCACGAGAUGGGCCGGGCAGGUGGGCUUCUUGCACAUGCCGCACAUCCACCUCAAUGGUGAACUUUAAUGGUUCAUCAAUAUCACUUCCAGAAUCCCCCUCAUCCAAUAAAUGCUCCUGGAUCUCUUCCUCCGUCAGGCAACGGCGCGACAUGAUGAAAUUUGGAAAUUGAGAAAAAAAAAGAAAUUUGAACAAUGGGCAAAACCUAACAUCGUGGAGUCACCAACUCAAAUAUGGCAACUCGAGUGAGUAGGUUGUCGAUACGCUACCGCGUUACCUGUCCAAGGUU